AAAUAAGAAACAAAUUUUGUGAUUAGUUUCGACCUAAUUUUUGAUAGAAUGACCCUAUCCUUAUUUU
rnacentral:tRNA from 1 species